rnacentral:rRNA from 1 species
GUCUACGGCCGUACCACCCUGAACGCGCCCGAUCUCGUCUGAUCUCGGAAGCUAAGUAGGGUCGGGCCUGGUUAGUACUUGGAUGGGAGACCAAAGAUGGGUGCAUGUGAGCC